rnacentral:lncRNA from 1 species
CGGGCAGACUAUGAAAAGCCUGGAUACAUUAGAUGCAUACUUCCCUCUCUCUUUUUCCUUCAGGGAGAUGUUACAAGACAAGAUGAUUUCACUGGAAGCUGAGUUUUGCCAGCUUUGGGGAAAUGCUGAUGCAGAACAUCAUUUAUUUAAGGCUGAUACUCAUGGAUAGAAGAGUCAAAGUGCGAAUAUAUGCACCCUUCUAUACGGAUUCUGCAGAAAGAUAUGCUUGGGUCAUGACUCAGCUAUUUACAAAGUUGCUGGUGACUAAUUGCUGGAAAGAAGCUGGGACGUUCUGUGGCCCCUCCAUUUUAUAUCCCCUCCCUUUGGUUCUCUAGGAAAUUGAGUUCAGGAAAGCUACCAGGAAUAAAACUCUUACUUUUUAUGCAUGUGUAUUUUUUUUCCAGACAAUUUGGAGAGAAUUCCCUGAAACAUUCACUGUACAACUCUACUUUCUUGAAUACUUACUAUAAUUAAAGUUCAUUUCUGAUUUACAUAAAGACCAA